rnacentral:tRNA from 1 species
UGAUCCAUAGUGUAACUGGCAGCACCCAAGACUCUGACUCUUGGAGUUCAGGUUCGAAUCCUGAUGGAUUAACAA